GGAAGGUUAGUUUAAAAAACAUUAACUUGUCAAGUUAAAGAUACUCUAUCAGUACCGUCCU
rnacentral:tRNA from 1 species